rnacentral:lncRNA from 1 species
AAUAUGAUCCGAUCAAAUACCCCCACACUUAACUUUUGCUAGUCCUCGAGCAAAACAAAGAAAACAAGAACACGAAGUAACAAGAAAAACAUUAGCUUCCCCCUUUGUGACCCUCAUAGAAUUUCUUUUAAGAAAACAAAUCAUCAAGAACCAUAGCUAGCACCAAACAAGUUAAUCCAAGUUCAUCUUCCUUAUUCAAAUAUUAGCAGUAAUCUUUGAAUCAUCCUUGAAGGGUAGUGUGUGAGAUAGCCAUGCUAAUGCAAUUUCAAGUUUUUAUUUUUAAAAUCAUCAUAUGCAAACUAGUAACCUUCUCACGGGAUAUGCACUCAAUCACACAUGUGUUUAGUUUUAAUGUGUUUCGCUCAAAGAAUCAAAUGU